GCUCAUUUUUUUUCUUAACUGCCUAGGAGGCAGUUCAAAAUCCUUUCGACGUGUCUUCCGUUGUUGGCGGUUCAGCAUCAGCAGCCAGCGUUUCCCUCGAUGGGGUUCCCUGGUUUUCUCCGGAAAGUGGAGAAGCUGAGCGUGGGAUUGCACAUUCAAGAUUGACUCUUGUGGAUUCUUGCGUCAGGACGAGAUUGCACUCACGCCCUCCUUCACCUCCAACCCUUCAGGGGCGCCGCCCCUGAAGCGGUGGAGGUACCCCCUGUGGCAUGUAUAGUGGGCUACGGCCCGCUAUACAUGUCCACAGUGGGAUUCGUCAAGAAGCCUGCAAUUAAUCCAGGAGCUGGUAGUUCUGACGAAUCCAAAGGUUACCACAGUACAACGGUUUACAAAGGCUUCGAACCGACCUGACCUUUAAUCUUCGAGAAUUGUAGUGUUUGAGUGAAUCUACUAAGUUUUGAACUUCAAGAGAAGAUCGAUCUUUCACCAAAAGGUGCUUUUGAGUUGCUUGGUCGUUCCCUUGAAGAUUAAAGUUUUUUUCAUGGGCAAAGUUACAGACAUCUUGUGGACCAAUAAACUUUCGUGACCCAAAAUACAAGUAUUUUGUUAACUUUGAAAUAUUUUUAUUCUAGCCUUGGUUCCAUCAGGUUUUAUUCUUGCCUCUCACAUGCUUGUAAGUUUUUUUAUUGGCCCAUAAAGAAAUUGUAUAAGAUAUAUCCCUUAAUUAAGCGGAGGCAAAAUAAAGGAUACAGCUC